UGUCUAGCUUUUAUACGAAGAUAUUUCCUUUUCUACAAUUGGCCUCAAAGCGCUUGAAAUCUCCACUUGCAAAUUCCACAAAAAGUGUGUUUGAAAUCUGCUCUGUCUAAAGGAAUGUUGAACUCUGUGAGUUGCAUACACACAACACAAAGAAGUUACUGAGAAUUCUUCUUUCUAGCAUAAUAUGAAGAAAUCCCGUUUCCAACGAAGGCCUCAAAGAGGUCCGAAUAUCCACUUGCAGACAUUACAAACAGAGUGUUUCCUAACUGCUCUAUGAAAAGAAAGGUUAAACUCUGUGAGUUGAACGCACACAUCACAAAGCAGUUUCUGAGAAUCAUUCUGUCUAGUUUUUAUACGAAGAUAUUUCCUUUUCUACCACUGACCUCAAAGCGGCUGAAAUCUCCACUUACAAAUUCCACAAAAAGAGUGUCUCAAAUCUGCUCUGUGUAAAGAACCGUUCAACUCUGUGAGUUGAAUACACACAACACAAGGAAGUUACUGAGAAUUCUUCUGUCUAGCAUAAUAUAAAGAAAUCCCGUUUCCAACGAAGGCCUCAAAGAGGUCUGAAUAUCCACUUGUAGACUUUACAAACAGAGUGUUUCC
rnacentral:lncRNA from 1 species